rnacentral:rRNA from 1 species
AUCCUGGCUCAGGAUGAACGCUGGCGGCGUGCUUAACACAUGCAAGUCGAACGAUGAUGCCUAGCUUGCUAGGUGGAUUAGUGGCGAACGGGUGAGUAACACGUGAGUAACCUGCCCCUGACUCUGGGAUAAGCCUGAGAAAUUGGGUCUAAUACUGGAUAUGAGCAUCUAUCGCAUGGUGGGUGUUGGAAAGAUUUUUUGGUUAGGGAUGGACUCGCGGCCUAUCAGCUUGUUGGUGAGGUAGUGGCUCACCAAGGCGACGACGGGUAGCCGGCCUGAGAGGGUGACCGGCCACACUGGGACUGAGACACGGCCCAGACUCCUACGGGAGGCAGCAGUGGGGAAUAUUGCACAAUGGGCGAAAGCCUGAUGCAGCGACGCCGCGUGAGGGAUGACGGCCUUCGGGUUGUAAACCUCUUUCAGUAGGGAAGAAGCGAAAGUGACGGUACCUGCAGAAGAAGCGCCGGCUACUCGUCC